rnacentral:rRNA from 1 species
UGGGGAAUAUUGGACAAUGGGGGCAACCCUGAUCCAGCAAUGCCGCGUGUGUGAAGAAGGUCUUCGGAUUGUAAAGCACUUUCGACGGGGACGAUGAUGACGGUACCCGUAGAAGAAGCCCCGGCUAACUUCGUGCCAGCAGCCGCGGUAAUACGAAGGGGGCUAGCGUUGCUCGGAAUGACUGGGCGUAAAGGGCGUGUAGGCGGUUUAGCACAGUCAGAUGUGAAAUCCCCGGGCUUAACCUGGGAGCUGCAUUUGAUACGUGUAGACUAGAGUGUGAGAGAGGGUUUGUGGAAUUCCCAGUGUAGAGGU